GCACAGCGCCGCCAGGAGAGGUUUCAGCAAAGAGUCUCAGUGCCGUUCCCUUGUCAGAACAGCCAGGACUCGGGAGCUUGUUUGACCGUGGGGAAGCCAUCGAGAUGCUGCCCACGUUCCCCGGUUGUCUGCUCGUAGGUGUCUGUUUGUAACCUGAGCUGACCCGGCAGCCCUGGCGGAAGAGCCCUUCAUGCGGGACACACAGACGUCCUUUCUCUGAACCCUCUUCUGUCAUUUCCUCGAGGCCUGGACGGGGCACCGGACCAGAGGUUCGCCAGGGCCGUUCUUCCUCUCACAGAGCACCGAGUACGACCACGAGAAAGGGGGCACCCAGCCAGGCGAGAGAACCGGUUGUUAAACAUGACCAGCAUAGCACCGCCUGAAGCGCGGCCCUGGAGACACCAAAAGGUUGGACAGCCCCUUGCAUUUCAAAUGCAAAGCAGUGGAGCAAACCGUAGAUGGGAAAAACCCAGGGCUCUCUCUCUCGGCACAGGUAGGGCAGGCGGCCUCCGACCUAGGGUGAUCCGAGAGGUGCUCCGGAGUGACAGCCCAGGGCGCCCUGUCCCUCCAGCUUGCCCAAGCCUGCCGCUGCCUGGAACCCGCAGGACGUGAGCUGCUUGGGGGCUCUCGGAACACAGAGGCAGCCAACCGGGAAGUCUAAGAAGCAGCGGCGAAGACGAUCAGUUCUACGGUGUGUUCUGAAAAGCCCCUGUGGUCCAUCUUUUACCCAAAGGACUGGCAGCCCACCGGGUGAAAUUCCACAGCAACGAAGGUGCCGAAGUUCCCAGUACAGAGCAAAAGCCAGAAACAAGUAAAUAAGCGUAGGGUCAAGUACAUCUGAGUUCCAAUCCCAAAGGCUAAGUCAACUGGACCAGGUUACCUACUUCCGGGAGUCCCACUUCAAUGGCCCAUAAUAACACCUUUCCUCAAGGUGACUGUAAGAAUUCAAGGCGGUGCGGCGCCUGGGGAAUUGUUUGUCUUUUCCCUUCCCCCUCUGGAAGCAUGAAUCAUGCAGCUAAGGAAAGGGUGGUGUGAAUAAUUAAAACUGUCAGCCGCUCCCACAGUUCAUUAAACAUCUUCUUUGGGAGAGCCCAACAGAUUUAAAAUGAAAUUUUAAAUGAAAUUUUAAAUGGUAUUGUGUGGGCAGAAUUCACCCACAUCUGGAAAACUCCAAGUGGAAUCUUGGUUUCGGUUGCUGCCUGGUGGAGUUUUCUGUAUUUCCCUGAAAACCUCUUGCUGUUCCAUCAAAUCGGAUGGGGGAGGAACGUUCGAUCCCCCAGGGCCUGGGGUUAAGCACUAGAUAUGAAAAUCACACGGAGACCAGGAGAGAUAAUACGAUGUCUCAGCUCAUUUAUUCUCAAAGGCUUUAUGAGGCAGGAGAAGAGGUGCAUGGAAGGAACUUACAAAGAGUAACCAGAUUUAUGCGGCAAAAGGAUCUCAUUUUUAUCUUUCAAUACUGGGAAGCAGGAUUACCUUUGAUAAAAUAGUUUUCUUGGAAUUGGAAUAGCUGCUAUUUCUUUUGUGUUUCUCCCUUACAAGUACAAGGACAUGAUAAUGAGUGUAAUAAAGUCAUAAUGAAAAUUUAUUUCUCAUCCUACCCCAUCUCUUCCUAACUCUGCUUGU